UGUAGGAGUGAGCCUGCUCGCGAUAGCGGUGUGUCAGUCACCGAAAAUGUCACUGACAGACCGCUAUCGCGAGCAGGCUCACUCCUACA
rnacentral:antisense_RNA from 1 species